rnacentral:rRNA from 1 species
AUGCGUAUGUUGAGAUGGAUGUGUGGCCACACGAGGAAGGAUCGAGUCCGAAAUGAUGAUAGAGUUGGGGUAGCACCAAUUGAAGAGAAGCUUGUCCAACAUGGUCCGAGAUGGUUUGGGCAUAUUCAGCGCAGGCCUCCAGAAGCUCCAGUGCAUAACAGACGGCUAAAGCGUGCAGAGAAUGUCAAGAGAGUGCGGGGUAGACCGAAUUUAACAUGGGAGGAGUCCGUUAAGAGAGACCUGAAGGAUUGGAGUAUCACCAAAGAGCUAGCUAUGGACAUGGGUGCAUGGAAGCUUGCUAUCCAUGUGCCAGAGCCAUGA